UACGUAGGGGGCAAGCGUUGUCCGGAUUCAUUGGGCGUAAAGAGCGUGUAGGCGGCCUGAAAGGUCAGCUGUGAAAACUCGAGGCUCAACCUCGAGACGUCGGUUGAAACCAUCUGGCUAGAGUCCGGAAGAGGAGUGUGGAAUUCCCGGUGUAGCGGUGAAAUGCGCAGAUAUCAGGAGGAACACCGGUGGCGAAGGCGGGUCUCUGGGCCGAUACUGACGCUGAGGAGCGAAAGCGUGGGGAGCGAACAGG
rnacentral:rRNA from 1 species